UCCAAACACAGAGGCGCGAAGCGCAUCAGUACCGGUUUUCAUCAUGCCCUGCCAGGGGCGAGAGCCGGGAAAGGGUUCUUCGCCGAAGAAAAUGCGCGGCACGCAUUUUCUGGGUCCGCAGCCGAACAGGUGCGGGACUGUCACGCUGUAAAACAGUGUGUUGCGCUGUGUUAUAU
rfam:Subdoligranulum sp. 60_17 Ley3_66761_scaffold_874, whole genome shotgun sequence.